rnacentral:rRNA from 1 species
UGACCUCGGAUCAGGUAGGGAUACCCGCUGAACUUAAGCAUAUCUAAGGGGGAAGGAGAUCAUUACCGAGUGCGGGCUGCCUCCGGGCGCCCAACUCACCGUGACUACUAACACUGUUGCUUGGCGGGGAGCCCCGGGGCGAGCGCGGGACACUGAACUUCAGUCUGAGAAGUGAUGCAUCUGAGCCUGAAUACAAAUCAUCAAAACUUUCACAAUGGAUCUUGGUUCGCUCGAUAAAGAACGCACGCAUGCGAUAGUAAUGUGAAUUGCAGAAUCGUGAAAUCAUCGAGUCUUUUGAACGCAAUUGCGCUCCUGGCAUUCGGGGGGCAUGCUGUUCAGCGUCAUUGCUGCCUUACGCCCGGCUG